rnacentral:ncRNA from 1 species
CGGUGUUUGCAUUGCGUAUAUGGAAUCUAUUUUAAGGAAAAAAUAUACGUGUAAGACAUUUAGUCUUAAGUAAAGUUAUAAGUAGCUACCUGAAUCCCGUAUGAAGACACGUCAGCUAUAGGUGUCCAUCGAACAUGGGCGACGGUUUCUUGGUGCGUUAACACGGUUAUCCCGAUUGGUGGGUAUAUGACUGGAAAGGUUUUGGUUUAGCAAGGUACUGAAGGCCUGCAUCGCCUUUGACAACCAUGGAAUAGUGGAAAUGGACCUCGGUUCUAUUUUGAUGGUUUUCGGAGAGCGAUGUAAAGACGGUAGCAUUAGUACUGUGCAGUUAGAGAUAAAAUUUUUGGAUUGGUGCAAGACGAACCACUGAGAAAGUAUUUGCCAAGCAUGUUUUCUUUAAUCAAG